CGAGCUGGAUGGAGCGCGCCUUGGCUUGCUGGCCUGGGCCGCAGCUCCUCCGAAGAACCGGGGCGCCCACGCGAGAAUCUCCCCGCCAGGUUCUCUCUUCAGGGAUGACAUCACCAUUCACCUCCUUGUCUUCAAGGACCACCUGUCGAAGCCCAGCUGCUGCCAAGGUGCUUGCUGCUCAUCUCUACCUUAUGAAGACCUCAGGAGCGCCCAUUUUUGGAUCCCACCCGCAUACCAAGCAGCCACUGGCAGAGACCCCCCAGGACCAGGACCACAGAGGCUGAAGAGGACCAGAACUGACCAACCAGCUGUUCCUCUUGGCUAAAGACUUAAUCCAAUGCCCUAGUGAGGGGGCAUUGGACAUUAACCCCUGACCUUUGCUAUGCUUGUGCCUAUUGCUAUGAAUACUUUCCUGUAAGUCUCUGCUUGUGUUAAUAUGCCAGCGACCUGGAGUGUUUCCCUCCCCAAGAAGGUGUCAGUUUUUCUCAGCUGACCCUAUUGUUGCCCGGAUGAUGUCCUGAAUAGAAGGAUCCCUUUGGGAACUUCUCAGGAGGGGGACCUGGGCCAAGGGCUCCGCCAGCAUCUCACUGGCAAUUCCAAAGCCGUGGUGGGCUUCUGGAAUAAGCAUGUGCCCUGACGUCAUGGGCAUCCCCGUCCUUUCCGGGGAAUGGUGAUGAGAAGAGCAACCUCCUAGGGUUGUUGUGAGUAUUAAAUGAGCCAAAUUAGCCUGGGGCAGGGCUGGGCACAGAGGAGGUGUUCCGCAAACAUUUGUUGAAAGUUUGAUCGGUCAGUCCAUCCCCAUCCGAGUCACUUGUCUGAUGCCUCUUGUUUAUUUUCCCACAGCUCUCCGACAGCCCCUGUCCACGGGGCUCUCCUGCACAGGUAGGGCGCCACCAAGAAGGGUGAUGGGCUGACUUGAAUAGGAACAUCAAUUAUGCAUGCAGUCAUUUCCAGAGCACUUUCUAUGAUCUUUGACUAUGUUAUUUCUAUGUCAGACAUAUAGGUGAUGAUCAUUUACAGAUAAGAAUGAAUUUGGCCUUGGCUUGGGUCAUGUUAUAAAGGUGGGUGGGGAUUGAAUGGCCCUUCUAUGGGACAGGAUUUAUUCACAUUUACAGUGAGGGCACUGAGGCUGGAGGAGCGUAAGUAUUUUGUCAUAACUGCUGGCAAGACGAGGGGUCAGAGUUGGACCCUGGGUGACAUUGUAGCUACCUCUUACCCCCCUGGCCCAGAGUUAGACUCAGAGCUCUUGAUUUCUAAUCAAGCAUUUGACAGCAGGACCGUCUGAAAUCCUAGCUGCCUAGGGGGGCCUUGGGGGUCUGGGUGGCCCCAAUGCUGCUACCAUGUGCUGGCUCCACCUCAAUAAUGGUGUGACCUUACACAAGUCGCUUAACUUCUCCAGGUCUCAGUUCCUUUCAUGGUCUAAAUGAGGAUUAAAAAAAAAUAAAAAAACCCACCCGCCUUUAUCUACCCCACACGGUGCUUUUGAAGACCAAAUGAUGUAACUACUAGGAAAGUGCUUUGCAAAUUGCUGUGGAAAUUGCAAGGUCCUUAACACUCUGAUUGUUCGCACGCCCAGCCCUAGUAAUUGGGCUAGCACCCAGUAGGUGCUGUGAGUGUGUGCGCUCAAUAAAUAAAUUUCAAAAUGAAUAAAAACAGAAUUAAUUCAACAAACCUUUUCUGAACACCGACAAUAUGCCCAGCACACCAGGCCUGGUACGUGACACAAAGAUGAUGCAAACAGUCUCUUGGAAGCUAAUUGGGGUCCUCAUUUGACCAGCACUUUUUUUCGUCCCCUUUUAAGCCAAGCAGUUUUGUCCAGACAAGACAAAAACAGCUCAGGCCGCUUUGAGAAGCCCAGCUUGGUGGAGACAAUAGCUCCCGGGCCUCUGAAAGGGCCUGAUUGGAUUAUAUGGCAAAUGAAGGUGGAAGGGUGACUUGGGAGGUGACGAAUGAAGUGGGCGGAGAUCUGCUUUGAGUUAAUCCAGGCUAUUAGGAGGGAACCUUUUGUCUUCCAGAGGCUUUUGCCACUGCUUUUUACAUCCUUAAUGUAAGGACGCAUAAUUUAUGGUCAGUGAAAUCCAGGCCCCAGUGAGAUUUGAGUGGGCUGUAAACUCAGGCCUCCCACUACCAGCGAGUAAAUACAGUGAACGCUAAGUCUCCCUUUGCCGCUUGCAAAGGCCUUUUUGCAAUUGUCAAUUCAUUUGAACCUCACAACUCCCUGUCCCGACCCGGGGCUGGCCUACCGCCUCCCAGGGGAUCCGAGGCUGUCAAGGGGCCCUUCAGAUUGGGGUCCACACACAUUUGCACCCCCCUUGCGUUGUAAAGGAAGAGGUGUCCUCUGCACUCGUCAUUCCUGUCUCACCUCCAGCCUCCAGUUAUCUCCUCCGGCUUCCUAACUGCUCUCUCCGCAGCCUGAGCCUCCGGCUCCUCCUGUCCUCCUGUCUGGCCACUACCGUCUCUCUCUUUCCUUUCGCAGCCACGCUUCUCCAAAGGCCUGUCUCCACUUGCUGUCUUCCUUCCUCACCUCCAAUUUCCUCUUCAACCCACUGCUUCCUGCCUUCUCUGCUCCGUCCAGCGGCUUUCACUAAGGUAAUGACUUUUCUGUAGCUUAAACCUGGGUAGUUUCCAGCUCAUGGACACACGGACACAUUUCCAGUCUUCCUCUCAGGUGGCUCUUGGGCUCUGGUUCACACCUAUUGACACACACUCCCUCUAGAAUCCACAGGGACACCUGCCCCAGCAUCCCUUCUCGUAGGACCUCACGUAGCCAGAGCUCCCAACUUCUGGAACUUGCCUUUCACCAUCCCUCCUUGGAGUUGAGUCCUGGCUGACCCACCUAGUGCUGAGGCCCUACGUUAGGUCAAUUUCUCCAAGCCACUUCUUUCUCAGUCGCAAAAUAGGAUUAAUAAUGUUCACCUGGCAGGUCUGGCGAACUAUCUUGCAGGUAAGAACCAGACACUAUUUGAGGCACUUGAAAUAAGGUCAUUAAAGUAUUCGUAAGAAAAUUCAAUUAGAGUCACCAACAGAUUUUCUUACAGGUAAAGUUCCCACGGGGAGGGCCAUAGAGAGAAGAAAGAAGUGGGGGGAGGGGGCAGGGAGAGGUGGGAGAGAAAGGAAAGAAUGAGAAAAGGCACCAAAGACAAUAAAGUAGGGAAGGGGACUUAGAAAAUAUUAACAUCGGCGGAAAACACAUCUAGGGAAAGGUUUCCUCUAGUGUCGGGUUGGGCUAAAAUAAACAGGAAAAGGGUUUUAAAUUAAUGAUCCAAGUGACAAGUCCCAGGAAGCUUUCAAAUCAAAUUGCCCCGUUUUGGGGUUUUAACUCCUAUCAAGUUUAACCUCUUUACCGCCUUCAUCCCGGUUAAACUCUACGUGGCCCCUUGGCUGGUGAUUAAGUCCUGAAGGUACACAUAGUCUUUCAAUGAAUGAAUGGCCAACAGAAAGCCCUUCCCCUCCCCCCAGCUGUGUUUUUCAGUUUCCUUGCACUUUCCGCCCUUUUCCCUUAAUGAACACAGGGCUAGUCUUGGACCUUGUCAAGGAAGAGGCUGCAGACGCUAAUGAGGGAGCUGCUGGGCUCCAGUGUUCCUCUCAUAAGGAGCCUUCUUUGUCUGUGAAGGAAAAACACACUGAUUAUCAUAAUGAGGUGAACUGCCGUCUGCAGGGCAGAGGCGAUGGUCCCAAGGCCACGCUUGUAAUUUCGGGGCCGGGGCCCAGGGUUCCUUUGCUCCUCGUUUCAGCCUUGGCGAGGCCCAUUGAGUGGGGCUGAAGGUGGAAGGCGGCUUUGGGGAGAGGGUUGCUUUGCAGAAGGUUCCUUUGUUGGGCCCGGCGGGCAGCUGCACUGGGCCAGGGGCUGCCUGCCUGUUGAGAUUCACACACAGAUGAGGACACGGGGUGCGGGGCUCCCACUCCAGCAUGCACCUUCACUUGUUUCAGCGUCCACCGGACAUGAAAAAGCAUGCCACGUCACAGGUGUAGGGCCCCGGGGGAUUAUCACAAAGGCACCCCCUGGAAGGGUAUGGUUUGGGGUUCACGCUUUGGUCCCGCAUUCUAAGGAGAGUGAGGUUCAGAGCACCAGAGGAUUGCCAAGGGGACUUUACAAUAGAUCUUGCAUCAGAACAUGUCCUAUCCACCUGAACCGGCCUGUGCCCCACCUGAACCCCCUUCUAUCCUGAUACUUGAACUCCCCCUUGCCCGUUAAUGUCAGCAGGUCUGGCCAGAGCCUGAAACUUGCCCUGUGUGUCUCCAGUUCUGGACAUUUCCCACCCCGGGGUAGAUCAAUCAGUUAAAUUAGGUUAUUUUAAUUACACUUCAGGCUCUGGCCAGACCUGCAGCCAAAUGGAAAAAAACUAAGAGGGAAGCGGGGUGCUUGGGAGCGAGAAAACUUGAUUAGUAGGAAAUUUACGCCUCUCCCUUCACUUACCUGUCAGCUGAAGGCCGGAAUCAGAGUUCUGCCCUCUUCCCAAGUUAGCAAAACCAGCUCUCAUCCGGCUCCCCGAUAAAAAGGUUGAAGGCCCUACCUUAGAGGUGACCCAGAUGUUGCCCAGAGGAGGGGACUGGAGAGGAAAGGAAUAGAACAAUUUUUGGAGUUUCUAAAUGAGAGGAUGCAUUUUAAUAGGGGGAAAAAAAUUCCAGAGGACCCUUCUCACCUCAAAUUCAUACUGAUAAUUAAAAUACAAGCCCAAGGUCACCGGUAUUUCAGCAUUUGAGCACCUGAGGAGGGGUGGAAGGCAUUAGUUGGCCAGGAUCUUGGGGGUUUGUGUUAUUCCUGGAGCCCCAACUGCCUGGCCCUAGGGCAGUGAUGGUGAACCUUUUGAGCUCGGCGUGUCAGCAUUUUGAAAAACCCUAACUUAACUCUGGUGCCGUGUCACAUAUAGAAAAUUUUUUGAUCUUUGCAACCAUAGCAAAACAAAGACUUAUAUUUUUGAUAUUUAUUUUAUAUAUUUAAAUGCCAUUUAACAAAGAAAAAUCAACCCAAAAAAUGAGUCAGAGGUGACACGCGUGUCAUAGGUUCGCCGUCACUGCCCUAGGGGAACUGGCUCCCACAUCCCCGCCUGCUUGGGUUUCUGGGCUCACCGGUCUCUAGCUUUUCUGUGCUCACCAGCGGAGGGGUCUGAGCUCACGGCUCCCUGAGGGGUGGCACCUGCUUGUGUGCUUGUUCACGUGGGACCCUGCGUCCCACUCUUCCAGCUCAGGUCUUGGGUGACUUCCUGGGUUGACCCCUGACCUCCAGAGCCCACGCUUCUCCACAUCCAUCCUUCAGUCAACCUUGGAGGCCCCGGUGAUGGAGGAGGAGGCUGUAGCCAGGUGGGAUCCUAGAGGAUGAGUAGGACCCAGAGAUGCUCCCCUUCUCCAGCUAUUCUGAGCUCCGGUUUCCUGUUUUUGCUUGUUCCCACCUCUGUUCUGCAUGCUACCUUCUCUCCUCCCUCACCCCUCCAUCGCCACUUCCUAACCCAGUGUUCUGGGGGUGCCCUAGGCCAGCCCACACCUCCUUUGGGUGUCCCAGCACCAGCUUGGCACACGUGGGGCUCAGUAAAAGUAUGUGGGAUGUUUGUUUGUUUGGGCAGGUGAGUCAACGAAGGACCUCGGCUGCUAGAGGAGUUGUUGGGACGCCAGGAGUCACAUGUAGGUCAAAAGGAUAGAGAGUGGACUUCAAUUUAGGGAGGGGUGGGCACCCCCAUUUGAGCAGGGGCCUUGCCGGUCUCGCCCCUUCAUUCACUCACGCGGCCAACCUUCAUCCAACAGUUGAUCAUUACUGAGCUAGCCCAUAGCCCGGCCCGGCCUGAGCACCCGCCACGCUAGCCGGUCCCUUGAUGGCCUCUGCCCUCGGGAGAGUGGGCCGGGGGGUGUCGUUGCCGAGGGCGGCCUGGCCUCCCAGCACUGGCGCAGCGACUGCUCUGUAGAAGGCAGGACAGCGGGACUGUGCGAGGGGCUGGCCUGGUUCGCCUUUGGGCCAGUUGGCCGGUGACCUUUACGUAGCCAGCCUCUCCUGCCCUCUCUGCCUCCCCGACUCAGCCCAGAGCUGAAUGCACCCCGGAAUGUGGUAUGUGUACCCUCGGGCUCUGGCCACAUGGUCUCCCUCUUGAGUUGGGGGUCCAUGAGCUGGACCCCUCCCUCCAUGAUACCUGCCUCCCGCCUGGGGCUAAAUCUAGCUCCUUUGGCUGGAGACUGUCCUAUGCAAAGGACAGGUGGCUGGGAACCUCCAGGGAGCUCAGUUGGCUGCCUACCUGUCUGCUCUACCUGGCGGCUCCUCCCCUGGUCUGUUGCCCACUAGGAGCUCUGCUUUCCCCCUUCUCUGUGCCCAACUCACCUGGCUUCAGCUUCCUGUGGGCCUCAGCUGCCAGCCCGCUGUCUUACCUGCCCCUGCUGCUUCGUCACCCACCUUUCACCUGCUUCCUCUGGCCCUGCUGCUGGGUCCAGACACCCCACAGCCCAAGGAGCCAUUUCUCCAUCCUGCUGCCCAGGCUGCCAACAGGCCCCCCGUGCCUAUGGGACCAGCCCCUGCUGGCAUGCUACCUCCCGCAAACAUCCUCAAAUGCCUACUCCCAUUUGCCUGGCUUCCCAGGGUCUGCUCGACCUUCGGUCCUGCCUCCUUCCCUCACAGAUCCCUUGUUGUACCCAAGCAGGUAAUCCCAUGGCCUGCCCCGCCCCUGUGAGUCCCCGGCCCUGCUCACCCCACGUCACCCCAGGUCUCCAGUUGGUUUGGGAGCUGCCACCCAGGCCUUCGGCUUUUCCCAUCACUGCUCAUUCCCACGAGCCACCUCCCUCCACCGAAAACCAGACUUCUGGUUGACCCUGGGCCGGGUCAGCUGAAGAACUGACGGAAGAGGCAGAAGAGCCCCCGGAGGACACCGCCCUGGACCAAGCCCUCCUUACCAGCCCCGCGCCCAGCCUCUCGCCUCCGUCCUGGUUUGGGACGAAGCCAUCGUCCGGAUUCGUCGUGGGAUGGGACGUCAGACACACGCCCCCGCGCCCUCCACCUGUGAAAUCGUAAGUUCCCGGAAUGCGG